GGACAGGUGGCCGAGCGGCUGAAGGCACGCGCCUGGAGAGCGCGUGAACGGGGAACCGUUCCGUGGGUUCGAAUCCCACCCUGUCCG
rnacentral:tRNA from 1 species